rnacentral:rRNA from 1 species
UCCUUCCGGGGGGGGUGCAGUAGGGAAUCUUCCGCAAUGGGCGAAAGCCUGACGGAGCAAUGCCGCGUGAGUGAUGAAGGUUUUCGGAUCGUAAAGCUCUGUUGCCAGGGAAGAACGCUUGGGAGAGUAACUGCUCUCAAGGUGACGGUACCUGAGAAGAAAGCCCCGGCUAACUACGUGCCAGCAGCCGCGGUAAUACGUAGGGGGCAAGCGUUGUCCGGAAUUAUUGGGCGUAAAGCGCGCGCAGGCGGUCAUUUAAGUCUGGUGUUUAAUCCCGGGGCUCAACCCCGGAUCGCACUGGAAACUGGGUGACUUGAGUGCAGAAGAGGAGAGUGGAAUUCCACGUGUAGCGGUGAAAUGCGUAGAUAUGUGGAGGAACACCAGUGGCGAAGGCGACUCUCUGGGCUGUAACUGACGCUGAGGCGCGAAAGCGUGGGGAGCAAACAGGAUUAGAUACCCCCC